rnacentral:rRNA from 1 species
AUUGAACGCUGGCGGCAUGCCUUACACAUGCAAGUCGAACGGUAACGCGGGGCAACCUGGCGACGAGUGGCGAACGGGUGAGUAAUGUAUCGGAACGUGCCCAGUUGUGGGGGAUAACUGCUCGAAAGAGCAGCUAAUACCGCAUACGACCUGAGGGUGAAAGCGGGGGAUCGCAAGACCUCGCGCAAUUGGAGCGGCCGAUAUCAGAUUAGGUAGUUGGUGAGGUAAAGGCUCACCAAGCCGACGAUCUGUAGCUGGUCUGAGAGGACGACCAGGCACACUGGGACUGGGACACGGCCCAGACUCCUACGGGAGGCAGCAGUGGGGAAUUUUGGACAAUGGACGCAAGUCUGAUCCAGCCAUGCCGCGUGCGGGAAGAAGGCCUUCGGGUUGUAAACCGCUUUUGUCGGGGAAGAAACGCUCUGGGUUAAUACCCCGGGGUAAUGACGGUACCUGAAGAAUAAGCACCGGCUAACUACGUGCCAGCCGCCGCGGUAAGAC